UACGUAGGGGGCAAGCGUUGUCCGGAAUCAUUGGGCGUAAAGCGCGUGUAGGCGGCUGACUAAGUCCGCUCUGAAAGCCCGGGGCUCAACCCCGGGAGGCGGGUGGAUACUGGUCAGCUCGAGUCCGGAAGAGGAGUGUGGAAUUCCUGGUGUAGCGGUGAAAUGCGCAGAUAUCAGGAGGAACACCAAUGGCGAAGGCAGCACUCUGGGACGGUACUGACGCUGAGACGCGAAAGCGUGGGGAGCAAACAGG
rnacentral:rRNA from 1 species